GAUGAACGCUGGCGGGGGGCCUAAUACAUGCAAGUCGAACGAACAGACCAUGAGCUUACGCCUUUGGCGUUAGCGGCGGCCGGGGGAGUAAGACGUGCAUAAGCUACCUAUUAGACUGGGAGAACUUCGUGGGAACGGUGCUCAUAACGUGUAAUAUAUGGAACUGCAGAGGGCAAUAGUCAAUGACAGAUUUGGUGACACAUAUAGACGGAUCCGCGCCGCCUUGUCUAGUUGGUAAGGUAACGGCCUACCAAGGCAACGAUCCGUAGCCGAACUGAGGGGGUGAUCAGCCACCCUUGAACUGAGCCACGGUCCAGACUCCUACGGGAGGCAGCAGUAGGGACUCUUGCACAAUGGGCGUAAGCCUGCUCGAGCGCCACCGCGUGAGUGACGAAGGCCUUCGGAUCGUCAAGCUCUGUUAUUGGGUAAGAACAAAAGUGUAAUUAACGAUCGACGUCCUGACGGUACCUAAUAAAAAAGCUACGGCUAACUUCGUG
rnacentral:rRNA from 1 species